rnacentral:rRNA from 1 species
UACGUAGGGGGCAAGCGUUGUCCGGAUUUAUUGGGCGUAAAGAGCGUGUAGGCGGUCUGGUAGGUCCGUUGUGAAAACUCGAGGCUCAACCUCGAGACGCCGAUGGAAACCAUCAGACUAGAGUCCGGAAGAGGAGAGUGGAAUUCCUGGUGUAGCGGUGAAAUGCGCAGAUAUCAGGAAGAACACCCGUGGCUAAGGCGGCUCUCUAGUACGGUACUGACGCUGAGACGCGAAAAGCGUGGGGAGCGAACAGG